UACUGUAUAUGUGGGACACCGGCCACAGCAUGGCUUGACAAGUCUGCACCAGGGAUCUGAACCUGUGAACCUGGGGCCACCAAAGCAGAACGUGCAAACUUAACUGCUGUGCCACCGGGCCGGCCACCUGGGUUCCCAACUUUUGAUGUCUUAGCAGAUUCUUUAGCAUAACUGACAGAAUAAUGAAAACAUUGGAAUGGUGUGUAUUUUAAACCAUAAUUUUCACUUGUUGAGCCUGAUAGGCACGUCCAAGGAAGGCAGGCAGCCAACAGUUCUUCUCAGUGAGGGGCUAAGCGUGCAAGACACACAUAUCAGGUCACCCGGAGACAGCAGGAGGGGAAGGCAUCCCCACAGACAGGCCAGCAUUUCAGGAAGGGGGCUGGGGUGAUUUAUUUAAAUGGGACCUGAGUAAAUGUUGCGCUUCCCUUUUUGUUUUAAUAUAAAUAUUUCUUUUGCUCUUUCAACCCACAACUAGUACUUUAACCUUUGGAAGAUGUUAGAGAAUGCCUCCUCCAGAGGAAACAUUGCUGCAGGUUUAUUAGAUUGAGACCCUAACGUGAGAAGCAUUUUCACCUCUAUCACACAUGAACCGAGGAGGCCAGAGGUAGGUAAACAGUUCUGCAAGAUGCUAUGGACAAAUAUGUCACAUGGGUUAUCUUUUACAGAUGUGAUAUCUCAGAUGCCCCCUUUGAAGCAGCCUGCAUUAGUGUCUCAUUUGAUAGAUGAGGAGAUUAAGCCCAGAGAGGUUUUCCAGAGUUUAAAUUCUCUCCUUUAAUCAAACUUAUCACAUGAACUACAAUAAACAAAUCAGGCAGUUUGGUUUGUGUGAUAGAGCCAGCGUUCCCGCUGCGGAUCCCUGUCCGCACUGGGUCUUCGGAACGGCUGUUCAGAAUUGUUUAAAAGUUGCUUGGCACUUACUCUAGCCGUUUUCAACUAAGAAAAAUAAUUUUCAGAACUCAUUUCGUAUAAACGUUUCCAUGUAAAUAUGAACAAUUUGAAGGCUUCAACUCAAAUCUUGAACCCAAGCCCAGAUGGUUCAAGCUAUGGCUGGAGAUGUGCUGUGAGUGUAAAACACACACUGGCUUUUGAAGACUUUGCAUGAAAAAAAAUAAUGUAAAACAUUUCCUUAAUUUUUUAUAUUGAUUACAUAUUGAAAUGAUAAUACUUGGGCAGAUUGGGUUAAAUAAAAGAUAUUAUCAAGACUAACUUCCCCUGUUGCUUUUUCUGUUACUUAAUGUGGUUACGUCAAAAUUUAAAAUUGGACUUGCAGCUCUCAUUGUGUUUCUAUUGGACCUUAGCCAUCAACAGUCAUGGUUACAAUUUGUGAUUUUUAUAGGAAAGCUGGAGGCAUCAAGCGCAAGGAGCAGGAGGGCAGACGGGGAGGUGGUAAUCUGCUUCAAACAAACAAAAACAUUGGCUUGGGAGAGUGAGGCCUGAACUUUAGUCCCAGCUCUGCCGCUUACAGGUGGUUGACUAUGGACAAACGAACCUCUUUGAGUCUUAGAAGAGUCACUUGUAGUAUGAGAUUAUUCCCUUCUGGCUCUCAAUUCUAGAAGAAAUUCUACUCUGGAAGAACUCAACCAAUUUGCCUUCUCUGUACCCGCCCCUUUGCUGGAGAAAAUCACACACCUGGGCAGGUGGACCCCCUCAAACUCAAGUGGACUUUCAAAUGUGCUUGGCGAACCUAUUGCCUUUCCCAUCUCCAAGAGAAUGAUUUCACAGAUCCUCCUUAUCCCCAAGGCCACUUGCUGCCUUCUCUUCUUCCUUCCCCCAAUCCUCAGACUUCACUGAGGACGUAAGCUGUCUAUGGGAAGCUCCCUCAUCUGCCUGUUUGUAGAUCCACCCGAUCUACAAACCUACCUUCAUCUGCAACCAUCUUCUCCUACUCCCUUCCUGGUGCAAUUGAUGACCCGUCUGUCCAUCCAUCAGAGUCCCAUUUCCACACAAACUUUGGACCUCUUCCCCUCUUGCCAACACUGACUGCUUUGCUUGUCCCUCUCUCUCCAGCUUCCUCCAUCUCUCAUGUCUCCCUGACUAUGGGAGCAUUUCCAUCCCUGUGUCUCACCUCCUUCCAGCUACUGUUCAACUUCAAUGAUCUCCUUCAUGGUUAAUCUUCUUGACAAUAUUGACAUAGGUUGUCUCCAGUCAUCCAACACAUAGGUUGUUUCAUCAUCUUCUAGUCACCCUCAGUGCUGGCCAAUGAGGCCAACACCACUACAGUCCUCUAAAAUUUCUCUGAGCAAGGGCUGCAAAGAUCUCCAGUUGGCCCUCAUUUUUCUCAACAUCUCAAUGGUACUGGACAGUUGACCCUUUCAUACACUCUUAGUAUAUGAAGAGUCCUCUCCGAACCCUUGUUCUCAGUCUCGAUGACAAGCUCCUUCUCAUCCAUCCAACAGCUAAUUUUAGAUUCCUUUGGGGUCAGUCCUGAGCUCUCUUCUCACUAGGUAAUCUGUUUGGCAGCUUUAAAUUCCACCUAUAUGCUAGCCACUCCCAAAGUUAUAGAUUUGGUCCAUUGGCUCUUGUGACUUCCAAGCUAAUCUAAAAUUGUGCAUUUGAUACCUGCCUUGGAUGUCCAUUGGCAUCUCAGACUGACCUUGUCUCAAACCGAAAUAUUGAUUUCUCCCUCCAGUCUUAUUCACAUUGUCAUGGUUCUGCUAUCUACCCCAGUGCUCAAGACAGAAACUCAAGCGUCAUCUUUAUUUCUCUCUCUUUCAUUCUCCACAUCCAAUCCACUGGAAAAUCUAGGCAUUUCUAAUACUGAAAUUAACUGAAAAUCUGCUUGCUUUGCUCCAUCUGCACUGUCCCCACACUGGUACAAGCCACUAACCUUCCCCCAUGGUGGGACUCCUUCAGUCACUUCUGGUUUUCACUGUCACAUCUCAACACACCGUUUCCUUUACACCAGUCAGAGAGUGGGCUUCACUACAAGUCAAAUAAAACCCACCCUCUUUCUCAGGGUUCAAAAGAGCCCAACCUGACCCAGGUCCUGCCAAGUUCCCCCACUUCAUGUUCCAUUCUCUAUCUUGUCCUUGCUGUUCUAGCCACCCGGUCUCAUUUCAGUUUCUAGAACAUGCUGAUUCUUGCCGCCCUCAUGCCUUCCAGUCUGCCUGGAGCCUUCCUCCCCGCGCUGUUCACGUAACUGGCUCCUUUCACCCUUCAGCUCCAGCUCAGAUGCUCCCUCCCUUGGGAGAUCCCUGACCUUCAGUCUAAGGAGACCACUCGGUCAUUCUCCAUCAUGGCAGCUUGUUGGCUGUUUUCACAGCGCCUAAUAUAAAUGGAAACCAUAUGCAAUCAUUUGUUAAUGAUCCAUUUCCCCAACUCUACAGUAAAGUCCAUAAAGGCAGGACCAGGUCUGUUUUGUGCUCUGCUGUACAUUGUGUAUGUAGUAUAGUAUCUUCCACGUAUUAGAUACACAAGCAAUAUUUGUUGAAUGAAGAGGAAAGGAUGGGAGAAGGGAGGCUGCCUGGCUUGCUAGCUCAGCUUCCUUUCCCCAUGGCAUAAAUUCAAACUUGUCCCCAGACUAUGUUCCUCCAAGUUCAUUCAGAAAUAUCUGCCUCCCAAUGUAAGAACAAUACGCCUGCUAUCAUCUCUUAUUAACCUUGUAAAUGCUUAUGUCUGUAUUUUAUAAUCAUUUUCUUCUAUUUACUCUUUAACUGUCACGUCUCACUGUAGAUGCCACAGGAGUUGUUCUCAGAUAAUUGAUCAAAACUAUGCUUUCUGGCCACUUUCUAUUAUGUUCUCCUGGAAAAGGUACAGUCAUUAAAAUUCUUACUGUGCUUUUCUUCUUCAUCCCCUUGGUUGGGAUCUCAGUAACAAUCAUUAAAGAAGAGGAAAGGAUUUUAGGGAGAAUGAUGUUCAUUGAUAAGCUUAAGGGUUCAAGUUCAGGCAUUAUUAAAAACAAUUAGUGGGCUGUAGAAUUUAGUGCCAGGAAAAAGUCUUCAUAUUUCAAACCAAGAGAGGAAUCUAGA